rnacentral:rRNA from 1 species
GAUGAACGCUGGCGGCGUGCCUAAUACAUGCAAGUCGAGCGAACAGACGAGGAGCUUGCUCCUCUGACGUUAGCGGCGGACGGGUGAGUAACACGUGGAUAACCUACCUAUAAGACUGGGAUAACUUCGGGAAACCGGAGCUAAUACCGGAUAAUAUAUUGAACCGCAUGGUUCAAUAGUGAAAGACGGUUUUGCUGUCACUUAUAGAUGGAUCCGCGCCGCAUUAGCUAGUUGGUAAGGUAACGGCUUACCAAGGCAACGAUGCGUAGCCGACCUGAGAGGGUGAUCGGCCACACUGGAGCUGAGACACGGUCCAGACUCCUACGGGAGGCAGCAGUAGGGAAUCUUCCGCAAUGGGCGAAAGCUUGACGGAGCAACGCCGCGUGAGUGAAGAAGGUCUUCGGAUCGUAAAACUCUGUUAUUAGGGAAGAACAAAUGUGUAAGUAACUAUGCACGUCUUGACGGUUCCUAAUCAGAAAGCCACGGCUAACUACGUG